rnacentral:rRNA from 1 species
GUGUCUGGUGGGUAGUUUGACUGGGGCGGUCUCCUCCUAAAGAGUAACGGAGGAGCACGAAGGUUGGCUAAUCCUGGUCGGACAUCAGGAGGUUAGUGCAAUGGCAUAAGCCAGCUUGACUGCGAGCGUGACGGCGCGAGCAGGUGCGAAAGCAGGUCAUAGUGAUCCGGUGGUUCUGAAUGGAAGGGCCAUCGCUCAACGGAUAAAAGGUACUCCGGGGAUAACAGGCUGAUACCGCCCAAGAGUUCAUAUCGACGGCGGUGUUUGGCACCUCGAUGUCGGCUCAUCACAUCCUGGGGCUGAAGUAGGUCCCAAGGGUAUGGCUGUUCGCCAUUUAAAGUGGUACGCGAGCUGGGUUUAGAACGUCGUGAGACAGUUCGGUCCCUAUCUGCCGUGGGCGCUGGAGAACUGAGGGGGGCUGCUCCUAGUACGAGAGGACCGGAGUGGACGCAUCACUGGUGUUCGGGUUGUCAUGCCAAUGGCACUGCCCGGUAGCUAAAUGCGGAAGAGAUAAGUGCUGAAAGCAUCUAAGCACGAAACUUGCCCCGAGAUGAGUUCUCCCUGACCCUUUAAGGGUCCUGAAGGAACGUUGAAGACGACGACGUUGAUAGGCCGGGUGUGUAAGCGCAGCGAUGCGUUGAGCUAACCGGUACUAAUGAACCGUGAGGCUUAACCUUACAACGCCGAAGGUGUUU